AUGGAGAAAAGGCCAUUGGCAUUGGCAGCGGAGGUUUUCUUGGCAGAGAUACUAGAGUGGUUUGCCAUUUCCACCUGCAGCUCAUUUUACAGACUGGCUUCUGAUCACUCACUCAAGAGAAACUGCUCUCUCUCCAUAGUUGCCAACAAUCUUUUAAUUGCCCAAUCUGUUGGUAUUUCCUCAAUUCUCAUGCUUUUUUUGAUCUCUGUCAUAUUUGACUUGGUUGACUCAUCAAUUCAAGAAACUUUUUUUAAGGACUUACUAUGUCCUAGACACCUCCAAACUCUGGAAAUACAAACAAGAAAAAGAAAGACAGUUCUUUCCCUCAAGGAGCUUACGGUCUAAUGGGGAAGUUUAUAAUUAGAAUCUGCUCCCCAGAACUUCAAUUCCCAGCAUCCCACUUUCAGUCUCACAUUAUGUCCUUACAUUUUGGAGAUAAAGUUUGUUUGUGACUAUGCCUCUUUUUUUUUUCCCCAUGAACUCGGGUGGGAAAACUUUACUCAAGGUUUUUACUUUUGCCCUUUUAUUUCUUCUAUUUCAAGUGAUUAUUAAUAAAUAUUAU
rnacentral:lncRNA from 1 species